rnacentral:lncRNA from 1 species
UCGUGUUACAGGAUGAGUGAGUAUCUUGGUGAUGCAUUACUAUUGUAAACUGCAGGUGGGAUGGUAGGAAGGGAUGACCCAUGGCCAUAUACAUUGGCUCAUGGUGCAACAAACUUGUGUAUUGUUCUGUCCGCUAGCUCCUUGUUGAUGCUUCCUUGUUUCAUUGCACUUCUGAUAUAGAUGAUGACUGCAGGUUUGAGUUUGCCUUGAAUUGAUGUUUGUUAGGUAUUGGAUUAUGGUUUGCAUAAUAAAUUUCUUUGCUUCUGACUUGAUCUAAUUUGCUCAUGUUUCUUGGUAUGCUUGUGGUAUGACUUUCAUUUCAUGGCAUGUUUUGACAUGGUUCUUCCUUGAUCAUUGCAGGGUUUUGCUGUAGGUUUACAGGUUUUUUGCUGCUAGCAUGCACUAAUGUUGCAACAAUUUUAUGUUGCUUAAUGUUGUGGAGAUUGUAGGCUUUGAAGUCCAUUGCAAUUGUUGCAGUUGUUGUUGCAGGAUUUCUGUUAUGCAGGCCUUGAAACAUUGCUUGAUAUUGUUGACAUUGUAGGCCAAGUGGG